rnacentral:rRNA from 1 species
AGAGUUUGAUCCUGGCUCAGACCGAGACGCUGGCGGCGUGCCUAACACAUGCAAGUCGAGCGAGAAAGCCCGCAAGGGUGAGUAAAGCGGCGAACGGGUGAGUAACACGUAGGUUACCUACCUUUCAGUUUGGGACAACCUGUCGAAAGACGGGCUAAUACCGAAUAAGACCACGACAUCCUCGGAUGCAGUGGUAAAAGAUGGCCUCUUCAUGAAAGCUAUCGCUGAUCGAUGGGCCUGCGCACCAUUAGCUAGUUGGUAGGGUAAUGGCCUACCAAGGCUACGAUGGUUAGCUGAUCUGAGAGGAUGAUCAGCCACACUGGAACUGAAACACGGUCCAGACUCCUACGGGAGGCAGCAGUGGGGAAUAUUGCGCAAUGGGGGAAACCCUGACGCAGCAACGCCGCGUGAGUGACGAAGGCCUUCGGGUCGUAAAGCUCUGUCGGAGGGAAAGAAACUACCGAUGGCUAACAUCCAUUGGUAUUGACGGUACCCUCAAAGGAAGCACCGGCUAACUCCGUGCCAGCAGCCGCGGUA